rnacentral:misc_RNA from 1 species
UCAAGUGCUCUGCUAAGAUUGAAAAUAGCUCUGCAGCUGUGAAAGAGAAGAGUGUUUCGGUCAUUCUGUUGGCUGGAGGGAAGGGCAAAAGAAUGGGUGCAAGCAUGCCAAAGCAAUAUCUACCUCUGUUAGGCCAGCCAAUUGCUUUAUACAGUUUCUACACAUUCUCAAAAAUGACCGAGGUGAAAGAAAUUGUUGUAGUCUGCGAUCCAUCCUACCAAGACAUUUUUGAAGAUGCCAAAGAAAAUAUCACUGUGGACCUCAAAUUUGCACUGCCUGGGAAGGAAAGACAAGAUUCUGUAUACAAUGGCCUUCAGGAAGUUGAUUUGAACUCUGAGCUUGUUUGUGUCCAUGACUCAGCUAGACCUCUGGUGUCAUCUGCAGAAGUAAAAGAGGUCCUCAAAGAUGCUUGGAUAAACGGAGCAGCUGUGCUUGGUGUUCCUGCUAAAGCUACAAUUAAGGAGGCGAAUAGUGAAUCUUUUGUAGUGAGAACUCUUGACCGCAAAACACUUUGGGAAAUGCAAACCCCACAGGUGAUUAAGCCUGAUUUGCUUAAAAAAGGCUUUGAGCUUGUGAACAGAGGUGGUCUUGAAGUCACUGAUGAUGUUUCUAUUGUGGAGCACCUUAAACAUCCCGUAUACAUUACCGAAGGAUCUUACACGAACAUCAAGGUCACAACUCCGGAUGAUUUGUUACUUGCUGAGAGAAUUUUGAACUUGAAUUCUGGAGAAUCUUCGAAAUAGG